ACGAUGUGGGAAGGCCCAGACAGCCAGGAUGUUGGCUUAGAAGCAGCCAUCAUUUAAAGAAAGCGUAAUAGCUCACUGGUCGAGUCGGCCUGCGCGGAAGAUGUAACGGGGCUAAACCAUGCACCGAAGCUGCGGCAGCGACGCUGAUGCGUUGUUGGGUAGGGGAGCGUUCUGUAAGCCUGCGAAGGUGGCCUGUGAGGGUUGCUGGAGGUAUCAGAAGUGCGAAUGCUGACAUAAGUAACGAUAAAGCGGGUGAAAAGCCCGCUCGCCGGAAGACCAAGGGUUCCUGUCCAACGUUAAUCGGGGCAGGGUGAGUCGACCCCUAAGGCGAGGCCGAAAGGCGUAGUCGAUGGGAAACGGGUUAAUAUUCCCGUACUUGGUGUUACUGCGAAGGGGGGACGGAGAAGGCUAUGUUGGCCGGGCGACGGUU
rnacentral:rRNA from 2 species